rnacentral:rRNA from 1 species
UCAGGAUGAACGCUGGCGGCGUGCCUAACACAUGCAAGUCGAACGAAGCACUUCUGAUCGGAGAUUCGUCGAAGAUUGGAUUGACUUAGUGGCGGACGGGUGAGUAAUGUAUGAGCAACCUGCCUUUCAGAGGGGGACAACAGUUGGAAACGACUGCUAAUACCGCAUAAUGUAUUUUGAGGGCAUCCUUGAGAUACCAAAGGAGCAAUCCGCUGAAAGAUGGGCUCAUAUCUGAUUAGUUAGUUGGCAGGGUAACGGCCUACCAAGACUGCGAUCAGUAGCCGGACUGAGAGGUUGAACGGCCACAUUGGGACUGAGAUACGGCCCAGACUCCUACGGGAGGCAGCAGGUGGGGAAUAUUGGGCAAUGGGCGAAAGCCUCGACCCAGCAACGCCGCGUGAAGGAAGAAGGUCUUCGGAUUGUAAACUUCUUUUAUGAGGGACGAAGGACGUGACGGUACCUCAUGAAUAAGCCACGGCUAACUACGUGCCAGCAGCCGC